GAUGAACGCUGGCGGCGUGCUUAACACAUGCAAGUCGAACGAGAAAUGGAGACGGAACCCUUCGGGCGGAAGGCUUCAUUUCGAGUGGCGGACGGGUGAGUAACGCGUGGGUAACCUGCCUCAUACAGGGGGAUAACAGUUGGAAACGACUGUUAAUACCGCAUAAGACCACAGCACCGCAUGGUGCGGGGGUAAAAACUCCGGUGGUAUGAGAUGGACCCGCGUUCGAUUAGCCAGUUGGCGGGGUAACGGCCCACCAAAGCGACGAUCGAUAGCCGAUCUGAGAGGAUGACCGGCCACAGUGGGACUGAGACACGGCCCAAACUCCUACGGGAGGCAGCAGUGGGGAAUAUUGCACAAUGGGGGAAACCCUGAUGCAGCGACGCCGCGUGAGUGAAGAAGUACUUCGGUAUGUAAAGCUCUAUCAGCAGGGAAGAAAAUGACGGUACCUGAGUAAGAAGCCCCGGCUAACUACGUG
rnacentral:rRNA from 1 species